UACGAAGGGGGCUAGCGUUGCUCGGAAUCACUGGGCGUAAAGCGCACGUAGGCGGAUUGCUAAGUCAGGGGUGAAAUCCUGGAGCUCAACUCCAGAACUGCCUUUGAUACAGCAUAUCUUGAGUCCGAUAGAGGUGGGUGGAAUUCCUAGUGUAGAGGUGAAAUUCGUAGAUAUUAGGAAGAACACCGGUGGCGAAGGCGGCCCACUGGAUCGGUACUGACGCUGAGGUGCGAAAGCGUGGGGAGCAAACAGG
rnacentral:rRNA from 1 species